rnacentral:rRNA from 1 species
GAUGAAUGCUGGCGGCGUGCCUAACACAUGCAAGUCGAGCGGCAGCGAGUUUUACACUGAAUUCUGGAAGCUUCUGGGUAAUAUAGAAGAUUUAUUCAAGAAUUUUGUGUAAAAUGUCGGCGAGCGGCGGACGGCUGAGUAACGCGUAGGAAUUUGCCCCAAAGUGAGGAAUAACUGCCCGAAAGGGUAGCUAAUGCCGCAUAUGGUCUUCGGAUUAAAGUCUUCGGGCGCUUUGGGAGAAGCCUGCGUUGGAUUAGGUAGUUGGUAGGGUAAUGGCCUACCAAGCCGACGAUCCAUAGCUGGUCUGAGAGGAUGAUCAGCCAGACUGGAACUGAGACACGGUCCAGACUCCUACGGGAGGCAGCAGUGAGGAAUCUUCCACAAUGGGCGAAAGCCUGAUGGAGCAACGCCGCGUGAAGGAUGAAGGCCUUCGGGUUGUAAACUUCUUUUAUGAGUGAAGAAUAUGACGGUAACUCAUGAAUAAGCACCGGCUAACUACGUGCCAGCAGCCGCGGUCAUACGUAGGGUGCAAGCAUUAUCCGGAGUGACUGGGCGUAAAGAGUUGCGUAGGCGGUUUAAUAAGUGAAUAGUGAAACCUGGUGGCUCAACCAUACAGACUAUUAUUCAAACUGUUAAACUCGAGAAUGGUAGAGGUAACUGGAAUUUCUAGUGUAGGAGUGAAAUCCGUAGAUAUUAGAAGGAACACCGAUGGCGUAGGCAGGUUACUGGGCCAUUUCUGACGCUAAGGCACGAAAGCGUGGGGAGCGAACCGG